CAGAGUUCCUGCCCUCACGGGUAGAAACCCCACCCUUGUGUAUAUUAUAUUGUUGCUUUAGCAGGCCGCCUUCGGGCGUUGGCUCACGCUGACCGUGCCUGCUAGAGGACCCUAAACUCUGAAAUACAGUGUCGUCUGAGUACUAUUUAAUAGUUA
rnacentral:misc_RNA from 1 species